rnacentral:rRNA from 1 species
UACGUAGGGUGCGAGCGUUAAUCGGAAUUACUGGGCGUAAAGCGUGCGCAGGCGGUUUUGUAAGACAGGCGUGAAAUCCCCGGGCUCAACCUGGGAACUGCAUUUGUGACUGCAUCGCUGGAGUGCGGCAGAGGGGGAUGGAAUUCCGCGUGUAGCAGUGAAAUGCGUAGAUAUGCGGAGGAACACCGAUGGCGAAGGCAAUCCCCUGGGCCUGCACUGACGCUCAUGCACGAAAGCGUGGGGAGCAAACAGG